rfam:Aedes albopictus isolate Foshan contig90598, whole genome shotgun sequence.
GCGUCGGUAAUGUAGUGGUUAGCGUGGUUGCCUCUCACCCCAAUCGAUCGGGGUUCGAUUCCCGUCGACGCC